GAUCAUGGCUCAGGAUGAACGCUAGCUACAGGCUUAACACAUGCAAGUCGAGGGGCAGCAUGACCUAGCAAUAGGUUGAUGGCGACCGGCGCACGGGUGAGUAACACGUAUCCAACCUACCGGUUAUUCCGGGAUAGCCUUUCGGAAAGAAAGAUUAAUACCGGAUAGUAUAACGAGAAGGCAUCUUUUGUAUUAAAGAAUUUCGAUAACCGAUGGGGAUGCGUUCCAUUAGUUUGUUGGCGGGGUAACGGCCCACCAAG
rnacentral:rRNA from 1 species